rnacentral:rRNA from 1 species
GAUGAACGCUGGCGGCGUGCCUAAUACAUGCAAGUCGAGCGAACAGACGAGGAGCUUGCUCCUCUGAUGUUAGCGGCGGACGGGUGAGUAACACGUGGAUAACCUACCUAUAAGACUGGGAUAACUUCGGGAAACCGGAGCUAAUACCGGAUAACAUGUUGAACCGCAUGGUUCAACAGUGAAAGACGGUCUUGCUGUCACUUAUAGAUGGAUCCGCGCCGCAUUAGCUAGUUGGUAAGGUAACGGCUUACCAAGGCAACGAUGCGUAGCCGACCUGAGAGGGUGAUCGGCCACACUGGAACUGAGACACGGUCCAGACCCCUACGGGAGGCAGCAGUAGGGAAUCUUCCGCAAUGGGCGAAAGCCUGACGGAGCAACGCCGCGUGAGUGAAGAAGGUCUUCGGAUCGUAAAACUCUGUUAUUAGGGAAGAACAAAUGUGUAAGUAACUAUGCACGUCUUGACGGUACCUAAUCAGAAAGCCACGGCUAACUACGU